rnacentral:rRNA from 1 species
GAUGAACGCUGACGGCGUGCCUAAUACAUGAAAGUCGAGCGAAGCGGGGACGGGUGAGUAACACGUGGAUAACCUCCUAUAAGACUGGGAUAACUUCGGGAAACCGGAGCUAAACCGGAAACUUAUAGAUGGAUCCUCGCUGCAUUAGCUAGUUGGUAAGGUAACGGCUUACCAAGGCAACGAUGCGUAGCCGACCUGAGAGGGUGAUCGGCCACACUGGAGCUGGGACCCGGUCCAGAUUCCUAAGGGAGGCAGCAGUGGGGAAGGUUCCGCAAUGGGCGAAAGCCUGACGGGGGAAAGCCGCGGGGGUGAUGAAGGGCAUCGGAUCGUAAGACACUGGUAUUAGGGAAACGGUACCUAAUCAGAAAUCCACGGCUAAUUACGUUGCAGCAGCCGCGGUAAUAC